GCAGCGCCAAGCCCCGCCAAGCAGCGGCAGGCGGCCUCGCCGAGGCAGCGGCCUCACCUAGCCGGACGCCGGGCGGCCUCGCCGAGCUCCAAGCUCCAGGCGCGGCGCAGUGCCUCGCCGAGCCAAGCAUUCUUCAAAUCCGUGUGCAGUUCUUGUUAAGGGUUCUGUAACUUCUGUCCAAGACCAAUUGAUGCCAUUGGGUGUGAUAGGAGGGCAAAUGAUGUCGUGGGCACCUCGCCAGCCAGGCAUUUGGCCACCGAUGCAAACACAGAUGCCACCGCCGAUGCCGUGGGGAUUUCCUCCUCGUGGGCAGUCACAAUCACCAGGAUUGCCCUCACACUCACCAGGAUCAGGUUCGGGCUCACAUCAUGCUAGUCCGCCUCCGGAUCAGAGCACGUUUAUGGACUUAUUGAUGAACACAAGUGGCGGCGGCUCCAAUGACCCACCAACGGAAUGAAUUAAUAUGGAGGCUUGUGUGGAACUUACUAUCAUUGCGUUUUGUAUGGACUUUAACUUGUUUUAGAUGGAUUUGAACUUCUUUCUUAUGGACUUGAACUUGUAUGAAUAUUGAAUAUGGUGCUUGUGUUGUGAUAUAUUGAAUGUUGUGCUUGUAUUGU